rnacentral:rRNA from 1 species
GACAGAGGUGCCGAGCGUUAGGCGGAAUCACUGGGCUUAAAGCGUGUGUAGGCGGAUCUGUAAGUACCUUGUGAAAUCCCACGGCUCAACCGUGGAACUGCUUGGUAUACUGCGGGUCUUGAGCCACCUAGGGGCAAGUGGAACAAACGGUGGAGCGGUGAAAUGCGUAGAUAUCGUUUGGAACGCCAAUGGUGAAAACAGGUCGCUGGGGAUGAGCUGACGCUGAGACACGAAAGCCAGGGGAGCAAACGGG